GGUAGGAGAGCGUAGCAGUCAGCAUCGAAGCGGUACGGUAACGAGCCGUGGAGCGGCUGCUAGUGAUUAUGCCGGCAUGAGUAACGAUAAAACAGGUGAGAAUCCUGUUCGCCGAAAGCCUAAGGUUUCCUGGGGAAGGGACAUCCGCCCAGGGUUAGUCGGCCCCUUAGUUGAGGCUGAAAGGCGUAGACGAUGGGCAGCAGGUUAAUAUUCCUGCACCAUGUCACCGGACGAAGGUCGUGACGCAUCUUCCAAGAGUAUCCCGUGAGUAGUCGUGCGGGUCCCGCAAGGGCGAGGUCAAAUUAGGAUACCGAAGUACUUGGCGAGGAUGCCGAGAAACAGCGGCUGUAGGUUGAAGGUGGCGUGACCGUACUAAAACUGACACAGGUAGGCGAGGAGAAUAUCCUCAGGCGCUCGAGAGAACGGUCCUUAAGGAACUAGGCAAAUUGACCCCGUAAGUUCGCGAUAAGGGGACCCUCCAGACACGUUUAAUUCAUUAGAUGUGGGCUGAGGGCACAGAAAAGUGGCUCUAGCGACUGUUUAUCAAAAACACAGUUCUCUGCUAACUCGCAAAGAGGAUGUAUAGAGAAUGACGCCUGCUCGGUGCCGGAAGGUUAAGUGGAAGGGUUAGCUCCUUCGGGGGCGAAGCUCCUAAAUGAAGCCCCGGUAAACGGCGGCCGUAACUAUGACGGUCCUAAGGUAGCGAAGUUCCUUGUCGGGUAAGUUCCGACGUGCAUGAACGGCGUAACGACUGGAGCACUGUCUCAAGGACGGACUCGGUGAAAUUGUAGUUGUGGUGAAGAUACCACAUACCCGCGGCAAGACGGAAAGACCCCGUGAACCUUUACUGUAUCCUGGUAUUGAUGCCUGGCAUGGCUUGCGUAGGAUAGGUGGGAGGCGUUGAAGUUCGGAUCUCGGUCCGGACGGAGCCAACCUUGAAAUACCACCCUUGGCAUGUUAGUCACCUAACCGUGACCCGUGAAUCCGGGCAUGGGACAGUGCUAGGUGGGCAGUUUGACUGGGGCGGUCUCCUCCAAAAAGGUAACGGAGGAGUUCAAAGGUACACUCAGCGUGGUUGGCAAUCACGUUUAGAGCGCAAGGGUACAAGUGUGCUUAACUGCGAGACCGAUUGGUCGAGCAGGUGCGAAAGCAGGACCUAGUGAUCCGGCGAUCCCGUGUGGAAGGGUCGUCGCUCAACAGAUAAAAGGUACUCCGGGGAUAACAGGCUGAUCUCCACCGAGCGUUCAUAGCGGCGUGGAGGUUUGGCACAUCGAUGUCGGCUCAUCACAUCCUGGGGCUGAAGGCGGUCCCAAGGGUU
rnacentral:rRNA from 1 species